rnacentral:rRNA from 1 species
AGAGUUUGAUCCUGGCUCAGGAUGAACGCUAGCUACAGGCUUAACACAUGCAAGUCGAGGGGCAGCAUGGUCUUAGCUUGCUAAGGCCGAUGGCGACCGGCGCACGGGUGAGUAACACGUAUCCAACCUGCCGUCUACUCUUGGACAGCCUUCUGAAAGGAAGAUUAAUACAAGAUGGCAUCAUGAGUCCGCAUGUUCACAUGAUUAAAGGUAUUCCGGUAGACGAUGGGGAUGCGUUCCAUUAGAUAGUAGGCGGGGUAACGGCCCACCUAGUCUUCGAUGGAUAGGGGUUCUGAGAGGAAGGUCCCCCACAUUGGAACUGAGACACGGUCCAAACUCCUACGGGAGGCAGCAGUGAGGAAUAUUGGUCAAUGGGCGAGAGCCUGAACCAGCCAAGUAGCGUGAAGGAUGACUGCCUUAUGGGUUGUAAACUUCUUUUAUAAAGGAAUAAAGUCGGGUAUGGAUACCCGUUUGCAUGUACUUUAUGAAUAAGGAUCGGCUAACUCCGUGCCAGCAGCCGCGGUAAUACGGAGGAUCCGAGCGUUAUCCGGAUUUAUUGGGUUUAAAGGGAGCGUAGAUGGAUGUUUAAGUCAGUUGUGAAAGUUUGCGGCUCAACCGUAAAAUUGCAGUUGAUACUGGAUAUCUUGAGUGCAGUUGAGGCAGGCGGAAUUCGUGGUGUAGCGGUGAAAUGCUUAGAUAUCACGAAGAACUCCGAUUGCGAAGGCAGCCUGCUAAGCUGCAACUGACAUUGAGGCUCGAAAGUGUGGGUAUCAAACAGGAUUAGAUACCCUGGUAGUCCACACGGUAAACGAUGAAUACUCGCUGUUUGCGAUAUACGGCAAGCGGCCAAGCGAAAGCGUUAAGUAUUCCACCUGGGGAGUACGCCGGCAACGGUGAAACUCAAAGGAAUUGACGGGGGCCCGCACAAGCGGAGGAACAUGUGGUUUAAUUCGAUGAUACGCGAGGAACCUUACCCGGGCUUAAAUUGCAGAUGAAUUACGGUGAAAGCCGUAAGCCGCAAGGCAUCUGUGAAGGUGCUGCAUGGUUGUCGUCAGCUCGUGCCGUGAGGUGUCGGCUUAAGUGCCAUAACGAGCGCAACCCUUGUUGUCAGUUACUAACAGGUUCUGCUGAGGACUCUGACAAGACUGCCAUCGUAAGAUGUGAGGAAGGUGGGGAUGACGUCAAAUCAGCACGGCCCUUACGUCCGGGGCUACACACGUGUUACAAUGGGGGGUACAGAGGGCCGCUACCACGCGAGUGGAUGCCAAUCCCAAAAACCUCUCUCAGUUCGGACUGGAGUCUGCAACCCGACUCCACGAAGCUGGAUUCGCUAGUAAUCGCGCAUCAGCCACGGCGCGGUGAAUACGUUCCCGGGCCUUGUACACACCGCCCGUCAAGCCAUGGGAGCCGGGGGUACCUGAAGUGCGUAACCGCGAGGAGCGCCCUAGGGUAAAACUGGUGACUGGGGCUAAGUCGUAACAAGGUAGCCGUACCGGAAGGUGCGGCUGGAACACCU